GACCCCCCUUUUCUCCCAAAACUUAGUAUAAGAGUGCCAAUCAAUCACAAAAAGCUUUAUUAUAAUUAUUACACGUAUAAUCCUCUGACAUCCCCCCCCACCCCAAACGUCAGAUGCUUUGCUACGUCCCUGCUACGUCAGAUGCUUUACUACGUCUAAGAUAUCCUUAGUCUGCUCUUCUAAAUGGAUACAUGAAAUCACCUAUAGCUUAUUUUAAUUUUUUUUGCGCCAGGUUUGUGAAGUAAUUUACGCGCCAAAAAGCAAAAAAGCAUAUACAAUUUGCAAGAAUGAUAUGUUCUAUGUUUAUGGGAUAUUUCGUACAAACGGAUGGAAAUUAAAGAAAUUGAUGCAUACUGGCACUUUUGCAUGCAUUUUUGACAGGCAUGCAAAGACAUUUGCAACAGAUGCCGGGAGAUACGUUGGGUGGGGGCAACAUACUGUAAGGUUCCAGCACAUUACCCUGAUCCAGGAAAUCCUGGCCACUGCAUGAACGUGUUCAAGACUCCGAAUGCGCUCAAUGAUGGACAACAACGACUUGUUGAUAAUUCCACCCCUAGAGCCAAUUUAAAAUGUUUUAAAGACGGUGCCAUUUCAUCUGGCGCUAGUGAGAUGAAAGAAGCAGCAGAUCGGUAGUUUUGUUAAGAAGAAGAACUGAGUAGCACUUGAGUAUAUCAGACAUCUUGAGGAACUGCAAAUUGUAUCUAUGAUAAGAGAGAAUUCCGGAUUGUACUCCUUCGAUUCCGAAUUCUAGAGAGGAAGGGGGGCAUUGAAAAUUUUAAAAACUUCGAGGGGGGGGCAUCGAAAUUUACCGAUAACCUCAACAGGGGCCCUGUAAAAAUAUGAGCUUUUUUCAAGACAUCUUCAUCCCCCUCCCUCGGUGUAAUAAAUGUACUUUCCCUUAUACAGCAGGGGAUAUUUUACUUUACUUUUUACAAGUAAUUUUUAAACGUAUCUAUAAGGUGUUCAUGGAGAGGCAUUAUAGUGUAUAGUUUCAGAGCUUUUUGUGUUUAAAAUUGAGUAACUCUGAACAAGAUCGUUGUUACAAGAUGACCAUUUUUUACAAGCUUGCAAUUGUUGACAAUGAUAUAAGUUUUUUACGUCCGUAAUAAUGUAAUUAAUAUCUGGUUCCAGUAUAACCUGCAUGUGGUAUUAUUGGUGUACAACAAUAACAUAAAACUGAGCAGUGUAACUUUUUCGCAGAAAUUUUUACUUGCUCUGAUCAGGAUUUGCGUUUUAAUAAUGCAACAGUCAUAUGCGCAACGUAGACGUUCUCCUUGUAUUUUCAGGUAGUUGUAUCCCUAUCAAUCCAAAGCUUUUUUAUUUUCGUCAUUACCUACACGGGCACAGACCAUUCAAGAUUAUGGGAAAAUGCAUGGGGAAGUUUUGUUCCACUGUGCCAAAUAUCAUGGGUUUUCCCCAGGCAUUCCGGUAAUUUCUUCCAGGGC